AUCCGAGAGAGCGCGUCUGAAUGCAGGUGUUCCAAGCCCCGCCCCUCCGCCGCCUGCGCGCUAAGGCUCCUUUGCUAAGUGACACCCCCACCCCCCCAAGUGAGGGCGGAGAAUUUGAGUAUACCCGAAGGACUGACAUGACAGCCCAAGAAAUCCAUCUGAUGUCACAAAGUGAUGGAGACACGAUCCCUCCAUCCACUCUGGAGUCUGUCAGAGGGAAGGAGGAGUCCGACCAUCUCAAUCCCACCACUCGGUCCUCUGCUCUGAUCUUCUCUUCAUCUUCCUCACCACCAGAGUCAUCCUCACACACCGUCCUCUGCCAUCUGGUUGCACUCUGCCCAACCACCUGCAAUGAGAUAACGUCGGAACCAAUGUGUCUUCUCCUCCCUCCGCUCUGUGUUCCUCCCUUUUCCAGAAAAAUAUUUCCAUUCUAGCGAACCACCAUCUGUCCGUCUGCGCUAACACCAAACGUCUCCAUUUCUUGCUCACCAUGUCUGUUUUCUUCACCCACAUGUCUGUUAAAGAACCACUCCGAUGAAAGUGGUCUUUUUGGAUAUAUAUUCAGAAAAUUCAGCUCAAAAUUGCUUUUCUGAUUAUUUCUUUAUUCAAAUCGUUGUGAAUCAGGAGCCGAUGAAAAGAUGCUUUUGGAAAAAGCCUGUGGCGAUGUAAGAACAGUUGGUGGUAUUUUCCAAUAUCGAUAUAAUCAAUUUAUUUUGAAAUUAUUUUAUGACGUAUAGAUCAUUUAACAACUUGUCUCAACAGAUCGAUCUGGUUGAUUUUUAGAAAUACAUAUUGAUUCAUCGAUUGAGUCAAUUAUUCGUUACACCCCUAAGCGAUGAAAAUUGAACAGUUUUGUAUUUUUGAAAAGCUAGCCCCUUAUAUGUUUUAAGAUAGCCAAUCAAACCUAAAACCAUCACACUACCGCCACCAUGCUUGUGGAGUUUUCUUUCUGAAAGAUAGUUUGAGUCCAGAUAAUUCAACAUGACUGAUCAAGAAACUUAAUAACUAGCAGAAACCACAGAAUUUAAAUGAGAAUUUGGUGUGAAAUGUGGAUUGUGCACGGUGAAUCAAUUCAUUGGAGAGCACAGAAAAAAACGCAAGGGCACGAGGAAUGAGUCUGCAGCACCUGAAGUUGGUCUGACGCCUUUCAAGCACCUAGAACACGCCAUUUCUGUGACACAAGCUUUAGGGCAGGACACCUACUGCAAUUCAACCUCCACAGCUGGUCAGCCUGGAUCGGCACCGAUUACAGGAGAGUGCGGGUGGAGGGGAGGCCUUAUAUCCUCAGCUGCUCAAGAGCCGGAGCCUGGAGAGACAGAAGAGAUGGAGCAGACAGAGGGGUGGAGCUGUGAAAUGGCAACUUUAAACAAAGUAGAGCAAAAUGUGUUAAUUAUCCCGAGUGCUUUCACAUCAGCCCGAGUUCUCCUUUGCUGAAUCAGCAUCUUCUCCUUCAACCCUUACUUCAACCAUUUGAGCAUGAAGUUCAGUCUGUUUCCAUCUGCUCUUCAAAAUGCAAAACAGUAAUAUUUUGCUGCAAACAGAGCUUUUAAUCCUGCAUCACAUGCAGAAUAAUGAAUCCCAUCAAGAUCCUAAAUUGAUCUCUGAGCAGCUCCACCUUCCAGUUAUCUAUGGAGUGGUUUUUGUGCCAUCAUUCCAAGUGGAACACUGUGCUUUGAGCAAAAAGUUGAAAAAAUGUGGUGCAAAACAAAACAACUUUACUCUUAAAUCUCAAAUAUGAGCAAUCAGAACCCUUUUCCUCUGAGAGAAAUGUUUUUUCUUCUGACUCAAGCAGAGCGUGGCACCAAAUUACAAAACUAGCCAAUCACAGACAUGAAGGUUGAUGCUGAUAUGUCAGAAAUUAUAAAUGUGCACAAACCUGUUCCAGUCUACAAGCCGAUUGGAAGUAUUUCUGACCAAUCAGUCUCAACCUCAAUGCCCAUGUCUGUGAUUGGCUGUCUCCAGUGCAGAAGAGAGAAUUUCUCUCAAAGGAAAAUUGUUUGGCUUGCACAUAGUUUUGAGUUUCUAGUGCAUUUUUCUGUUUCAAGUACAAAAUAAUUUUUUGAGGACACAAAAUGUUUAAAGUUUGACGCUCAAAGCAGAGUGUUGCCUUUGGAAUAAGGACACAAAAACCACUCCAUAGUGAUCUGCAUGUUCCCCCAUAUUGCAUAUUUCUAGUUGGUUAACAGGCUAACCCUAACACACAUCACUUUUUGCUUGAGCUGUCAAGUUUGCACACGUUUCGACUCACAUUCAGGCCCAGAGUGUAGAAAUUAAGAAAACAUAGUUUAAGGAACUUUCCUGUAGCAUCUCACCAGUCUUACUUGAACAAAGCCGACUUCUUGACAUCUAGAGUAAAAAAAAAAAAAAACGAGAAAAUUAGAGACAGAAGGCCAGACAUCUCUUCGCGUCUGCAUCUCCGUUGGUCCAACAGACCUCUAACACCAAUAAAGAACGGUAAUACUGAAUUAUUCAGGAACAGCAUGGUGAUAUUAAGCUUUGAAGUUUAUUCAGACAACUUUCAGAUGACUUUCUUUCAAGAUGGUCUUUGUCAAAUGUGAUAGUAAUUCCAUUUGUGCAUGAAAACCCUGCUUUCUUUCCACCUCGGUGCACAAACGGCACUUGGCAUCCUGCUUGACUCACGGUGGAAAUCACGAGGUGAAGAUACAGAGCCGACUUGUUUGGAGAAACACACCGAGUCACAAGUUAGGAGAGCAUUAAUUAAAGUGUUAAUAGUUUUCAAACAGACAUAAUCCUGAGCAGGAAUCAGGACGACGCAUUUCCAUGCAGGAAGUGUGCGUCUUUGCCUCUCUGCUCUGGUCUCUUCCAUUCUUAAAUUAUUUCUUAAUCUGGCCUCACACAGGUGCUCCCAUCCAUACAUGAAUUAUAGAUUAAUAAGAGGAAAUAAUAUGAAGACAUUUGCUUCAUUUAAUGUGUAGGAGUGUCCCCCACCAGCCAGAUACAACCUUAUCUCCACAGACUACAAAUCUGUUCUUCAUUUAUAUUCUUACACUUUAAAAAACAUUUUUUUCAAUCAGGAAAAAUUAAUGAGAGUAAAUAAUAAGAUGCUUUUAUUUAAAAAUUGAAUUUUAAUUGUUGUUUAAUUACAAAUGUAGAUAACAUGAUGAAUAAAUGUUUUAUCUUUGAUUUCUGAGAGCAAAAGUCUUUGAAUAAUUCAUGGGUCCUUCUUGGGAUCUAGAAAUUAGGAGCAUUUGGGAUCUCUGGGAGUCAUAACAUGUUUGAAAAGUGUUUCAUUUAUGCGUGAAAGGCUCUGGCGUGUGCUCUGUUUGACGGGGAAAAUUGUCAGCGUGAAGCUUGUUAACAUUCAGAGAAAAUCCUCAAAGCUCCAGCCUAAAUCAAAGCAACCACACUGUGUCGGCCAAAACGCCUUCAAACCCCCCAAGCCGAGAUGAGACUGACAACGAGGAAAAAAAACACAGAGAAGCUUUAGGAGACAUGAUGGAGUCAGUCUAGAUAGCAUGAAGGGAGGAGACCUUCAGAAGAAGACUGCAGGUCGACGCAGAAACAAGUCAGAAGAAAUUCUGACAUCUAAAAUUAUUUUGUCAGUCAAAAAAAUUUAACUGAAGGUGAUAGAAAAUAAAUUUUGGUCUUUGCACCAAAACAAGAUCCUUGUGACUGUGUCAGCUUUUUUAGUCCCCUGUCAUUUCACCAACUGAUGUACAGACUAACAUUACAUCAUCACAGUCAGUCAUUUGAAGUACAUGCCAUGAAAGAGGUCAGAGACCUCCAGAAUUUUCUGUGACCAUUUAUCAUGUGUUGCAUCGAGCAAAGACGUGAAGCAAGUUAAAGGUUUUAUUAAUACCAAAAGCACCAUAAUUUGCGAUAAAAUGAUACCGUAACACCACAGCAAACGUGCAGAAAAAAAAAUCACAAUCAAUGCAUGCCAAUAAUAAAAAAUUAAAAGAUUUGCAAGAGAACUGUGAUGCACAGCAAACUAUGUCAGAUACGACAACAACAUAGAAAUAAUGUCCAGGAGACUUUAGACACAACGACAAAUGUGUGAGAUCUCAAUUCAUUUUUCAUCUUUGAAAAUGCUUGGAAACAGCCAGUAGGGGACUGAAACUGACACCUCAGACGUUCAGGGAAAGUUUCACGACUAGUUAUGUCUGGAGCUAUGUCCUCAUUGAACACAUGUGGCACAUCCAAGAACGCGCUAAACAGGUAUUCUUAAGCCUUUGCCUGAUGUGAACUUAAUG
rnacentral:lncRNA from 1 species